AAAGUACAUCCUGAAUUUCACUGGAAACUUGGGAAAGGAAGAAAGUAGACUAAACUAUAACUUUUCUCAGAAGUGUAGACCCUAAGAUCCUGGACAGAGUUGAAAUUCUGUCCUGUCCUUAUAAUGAUCCCUGUGAAGUAACAUGUGAAGAAUUGAUUAAUUAGGUUGGUUUCAGAUCAACAACUUAUUUCCUGGAAAGAGGUUUCCAUUGUGACUGUUAACUGCAGAAACCCAGCCCAGAACCGAGGAUCCCAGGAUCUGCAUGUUGCAAGUGAUACCAAAGAGGUAAAUUAACUCAUCCUUCCACCUCUAGGAAGGACAAACUGUGUCCAAAUAUUUCCAGAGGAAUAAUUUUACAUC
rnacentral:lncRNA from 1 species